rnacentral:rRNA from 1 species
ACCAGCAGCCAUAUUACCCUGUUUGAGCCUUGUCAGUACCUUGAUGGGAGACCUCCUGGGAAAAACUAAGGUUGCUGCUGGAA